UUUAAACCGGCUAUAAGAUAGUAAAGGAAUGUAGUGAAGCCAAAAAUAUUCUCUCUUUUUUUAAAAAAGUCACCACUUAAAGCUUUUUAUGUCUCUUCGCGAGAUCACAACAAGCGAAAAAAUAAAACUAUUUUAGGCUGCUUAACUGCAGAUUUACUGCUUUUUAACAAUCCAUGUGAUUCAAAGGGUUUGACACUUGAAUUUCAAUAUAAUUUUCACUAAGCAGUUAUAUAAUGUAUAAGUUAAAGUUGUAUUUUUAAAGUUGUUAUUUUACACUAACAAAUAUUUUAUGUAUGAGUAUAAAAAGUGUUGUUUUAAAAAAUAAAUUUUUCCUGUUUAAAAAGUAUAGUUGAGCAAGCAAACUGUACAUCCGAGCUGUUUGGAUAGAAAAUAAAGAGAAAUAGAGAGAAAAUACUAUUGAUAGUUUUUUCUGUUAGUCAUCAUCAUUAAGUGUAAUAAAUUAUUUCAAUGAAAUGCAUGAACCGCAGUCUAACUAAUACAUAUUUAAGCUGCUCAAUAUUAAAUGUUGUGGAGAUGAUGAACCACUACUGUUCAUAUGCAAAAGAAAAUACAAUCUAACGAAAAAUAACCAACAGAAUAGUAAGCAAGUACCUACUCCUAUAACGCAAAAAAAGAAAAAGAAAACAACUUUUAUGCAUACUCCGCAUACUAUAGUUCAAGCAUUCUAGCAUUGAUUAUUUUUUUACGUGGUUGAUUGCCAAGGUGGCGUGUGUGUUCUUCCACAUAAAAGAAAAAAGUUUGUUUAACCAGACACAUCUGCAUUUGUUCCCCUUAUAAGAAAAGCUACUAAAAAAGAUUCCUUAUCGAAUGGAAAGUCUCCCAUUACUGAGGAAGGGAUUAUGAUAACAGUUUAUACGGGCGAUGUCUGAAGUGGUUAACAAACUUUCUAAAAUCAGAGAGAGCGUCAUGUCAAGUUAAGCGACUGCUACAGUUGCCGAAAUAGAAAAAGGAAUAAUGACUUUAUCAAAAUAUGCACUCGACAGAUCGAAUGGUGGUGGUCGGUACAAAACAAUAUUCAUACUUUUUCCUAAUUGUUCUAAAACUAUUGUUAAAUAAAA